AUUGAACGCUGGCGGCAGGCUUAACACAUGCAAGUCGAGCGAGGUGAUGGUGCUUGCACUAUCACUUAGCGGCGGACGGGUGAGUAAUGCUUAGGAAUCUGCCUAUUAGUGGGGGACAACAUCUCGAAAGGGAUGCUAAUACCGCAUACGUCCUACGGGAGAAAGCAGGGGAUCACUUGUGACCUUGCGCUAAUAGAUGAGCCUAAGUCGGAUUAGCUAGUUGGUGGGGUAAAGGCCUACCAAGGCGACGAUCUGUAGCGGGUCUGAGAGGAUUACCCGCCACACUGGGACUGAGACACGGUCAAGACUCCUACGAGAGGCAGCAGUGGGGAAUAUUGGACAAUGGGGGGAACCCUGAGCUAGCCAUGCGGCGUGUGUGACGAAGGCCUUAUGGUUGUAAAGCACUGUAAGCGAGGAGGAGGCUCUUUUGGUUAAUACCCAAGAUGAGUGGACGUUACUCGAAGAAUAAGCACCGGCUAACUCUGUGCCAGCCGCCGCCGUAA
rnacentral:rRNA from 1 species